GGUAAUACGCUGUUAUUGGAUGAUAUAUAUAUAUAUAUAUAUAUAUAUAUAUAUAUAUGUAACAUUUUUUUGUUAAAUAUAUUGUUAUUUACUUAGUAGAAAAUUGUAUUAUUAAAGUGAAUUAGUUAGGAAUAGAAAGACUUGGAAAUGCAUGAACAUUAUACGAAUGUACGCCGACUCGUGUAAAUUUUCAAUGGUUCGAAUCGGCAUGAACAAAGCUGUGACGACGACUAAUGGGGAAAGUAAGAAACGAAUUAAUUUUUAUAACACAUAGUAAAUAGCGUUAAGUGUUAUCAGAAAUUCGUGUUAACAUAUUGUUAGUUAUAUCGAACGUGUAAAGUGAAAUCAGCCGAUCGAAUUAAUUCGGCGAAAGCACACCGAAGCGACGAUUAGUUCACAACAAUUAACAGCAAGCCUUUAAGAAUUAGAAAAGAAAAAAAAAAAACAACAGAAGGAAUUAUAAAUGAAAACAAAAAAAAAGAAGAAGAAGAGGAAGAAACAAAAAACUAAAAAAAGGUAAUUGAUAAGAGAAAAAAUAAAAAGACGGGCAAAAACUUUCGUCGAUCAGUGAUACGUCGCAGGCACUAAUAAUGUAUAUAAACACAGAGAGAAAUAUAGAAAGAGAGAAAGAGAGAGAAUCAUUAAUUACGUUCGUAUUAACAACGUGCUUUAGCAUGAAAAAUUUGCAUUUUUUUUGCAAAAAAAUCUAAGCUAACUUAUUCUUCUCUUCUUACAAUGUCAUUAAUUGACUUGUUAAUUUGAAACAUUAAUUUGAUUCAAAGAAAUAUAAAAACAAAAGCAAUUACUAAAUGCUUCGAAGAUACUUGUUACAUUGCUAAUAGCUCUUGCAAAAGCCGAAUGAUCAAACAUUAAGAAAUCGAAAGUUAAAUCUCAAAUAACGAAGUAAAAGAACAAAUUCAUUGAGAUAAGAUGACGUAAAUGUUUUAUUACUUACUUCAUCUUGUCUCUCUCGUCUUGUUCUUAUUUUUUCUUUUUUAAUAACGACAUAUAUAAAACUUUAUGUGCGAGUUCAAUCAUCUUUUGGUGAAGGUGAAACGAAGAAAGAAAGAGAGAGAGAGAGAGAGAGAGAGAGAGAGAGAGAGAGAGAGAAAGAGAGAAAAGUGAAGGUACGUGAAAGGAUUUUUGUUUUAAGCGUGGUGGUGAUUUAUAAGGAAAAAAACAAAUUUGUCAGAAUAAUUAAAAGGAUCAAUUAAUUGUCGAUCGGUAUCUAACGAUGACAAUUUCGUGUUUAUUCUUUUUUUUUUUUUUUUCCUUCUUUUUUUUUCAAACGUACCAACGAAAACUAAUUUUAUUUUCUUUACUAUUAUUAUUAUUAUUAUUAUUAUUAUUAUUAUUAUUGGUACUAUUAUUAUUCCGACAAAUUUUUUUUUUUUUGUUAAAAUCGGAUAAUUAAAAGGAUUGGAGAAAAGGGAGGAAGAGGUUGGUAAAGGUUGGUAGGCAUACCAUCUAAGAAACUGCUGUAGGCAGUGUUUCCCUUCACCAUGCCAGUCUGCAUCAUCAUCAUCCCCACAUCUGGAAAAAUUCAGCGAUCGACCCGGAGGCGGGUUCGUAAAUAGAGAUCAAGAAAUAGAGAAGAAAGUGGGAUUGAGGCGGUGCAUCUAGGAGAGUAUUACUUAAACAUAUAGACAAUCGUUAGAGGUUUACGAAAUUCAAUAAAGAUUUAUGUGCGUACGAGAAGACGAGAAUAUGCUAAAAGGUAUAAAGGUACAAAAAAUGGAAGUGAGUAAACUUCUAAAAAGCUUCGAAUUAGCGUAAUUAGAUUAUUACGAGAUUAGAAAAAGAAAAAAAAAGAAAAAGAGCGAGAGAGAGAGAGAGAGAGAGAGAGAGAGAGAGAGAAGAGGAAAAAGAUCAAUGCGAACAAUUUUAAUGAAAAAAAAAAAAAAAAUAAAAAAAAAAAGCUUUUGAGAAGUUUAUACUUCGAACAUUUAUAAAUCAUCGGAUAAUCAAAUAUAGAUAGAUAUCUAUUUUGUAACAACGAUCGCUGGAAUCAUCUUCGACGGUUUCUGCUGUCAGACGGGGCUCUUUUCUUUUUUUUUUUUUUUUAACAUAAAAAGAAAAAAAAACAGGUUAGGGAAAGAAUAAAAAAAUAACGUGAUAAAUAGUGAUUAUCGUUAAUCGUUGAAAAAGGACGAUGGAAGUCACAUAUUCGACGAUUACCUUCGACGUUCUCUCAUUUUCUCUUCGAGUCUUUCGAUACCUGGAAUAAUAGAAUUAACUGAAACCUUAGAAAUUAGUUGACCGAUCGUUUAACGAAAAUCGUUUCAUUGCCCAGGGUUUAGGACAACGUUGCAGUGUGAAUGUUGAUCGUGUGAUCUAUCGUAAACACUUUGUUAUUCCUAAUGAAUUUAAUUAAAUACAACGAUACGAUAUCCGAUUAUAAUAUUUUCAAUCGGUUUAGAUUUAUCAUGAAAAAAGGGAAGAUAUUAAAUGGGAGAUCUUGAAUGGUAUCCAUUCGUCAAUCGGAAUUAUUCUAUUACGUGUGUGUGUGUGUGUGUGUGUGUGUGUGUGCGUAUGUGUGCGUGUGUGUUAGAGUCAAGUGUCGCCUUUUCGUUCCUCUCUCUUCUUAGAUCCUUUGAUAGGAGAGAUCUAAUUGGCGCUAGUGCAACCGACGACGAUGCAAUAUCAUUUGAAUUAUAUAGACGAGCUGCAGUCUCUUUCAUGGAUCGAUUUUUUUUUUUCCUUGAUCGCGCGCAAUACGAAAUCGAAUGUGACUCUUUAUCGGCGAAUCUCGCACAGUUCAGAGUAAGGUAGAUAAAGAUGAGAAAGAGCGAGAUAGAUAGAUAGAGUUAGAGUAUAGGAAUAGAGAUAGAAAUAGAGAUAUAUAAAUAGAUAGAUAGAUAGAUAGAUAGAUAAAGAGGGAAGAUAGAUGUAGGAAAAGUAAAAAGAAAUGAACGGUAAGGAUAUAGGAACGGAUAAAAGAAAUGUGAAAUAGAGAAAAAUAAAUCAGAGAGAGAGAGAGAGAGAGAGAAAGUGAGAGGGGGCGGAGUAAAGACUAUAGAUUGCAGAGAAUAAUUGAUAACAGUAAGAGUACGUGAAGCUGUCAUACGGCAGUAUGUAUGAAUACCAAGUGCCAAAUUCAUACCAAGUAAGGCGUUAAAGAAAAUCGUAUCGGGAACUAUAGUCAUGCAUGCAAGAACGAACGAGAAGAGCACACACUAUAGUGCAGGCUAAUUUCCUCCGUUAGAGAUAGAGAGAGAGAGAGAGAGAGAGAGAGAGAGAGAGAGAGAGAGAGAGAGAGAGAAAGAGAGACAGACAGAGAGAUAGAGAGAGAGAGAGAAAGAGAGAGAGAGAUAGAUAAAGAGAGAGAGAUAGAUAGAGAGAGAGAGAUAGAUAGAGAGAGAGAGAAAGAGUCAGGUGGUCAUGCCAGGCCAGCUGACUGAUUUAUUGGGCAAUCAUGUUAUGCGUUUGUCGUAUUAUAUAUAGGUCCAUUUUAUUUCCUCUUAGAAUUUGUUAUUCGAAGGAAAAUUCAUUUUUACUGAUUCAGCACAGACCUUUCCCUUUAAAUCGAAACUUUAACUUCGAAGAAUUAUUAACGAUUAGAAAUGGAAACAAAACGAAAAAAAAAAAAAAAAAAAAAAAAAGAAACAAGAAGCAAACGUUA